AGAGUUUGAUCCUGGCUCAGAUUGAACGCUGGCGGUAUGCUUAACACAUGCAAGUCGAACGGUAGCAGGCCUUCGGGCGCUGACGAGUGGCGGACGGGUGAGUAACGCGUAGGAAUCUGCCUGGUAGUGGGGGACGACUUAGGGAACCUUAAGCUAAUACCGCAUACGCUCCUUAUUGCAAGAUGGGGAGGAAAGCGGGGGACCUUCGGGCCUUGCGCUAUCAGAUGAGCCUGCGUUGGAUUAGCUGGUUGGUGGGGUAAAGGCCUACCAAGGCGACGAUCCAUAGCUGGUCUGAGAGGACGAUCAGCCACACUGGGACUGAGACACGGCCCAGACUCCUACGGGAGGCAGCAGUGGGGAAUAUUGGACAAUGGGCGCAAGCCUGAUCCAGCAAUACCGCGUGUGUGAAGAAGGCCUUAGGGUUGUAAAGCACUUUCAAUGGGGAGGAAAACCUGCCGGUCAAUACCCGGCAGCUUGACAUUACCUAUAGAAGAAGCACCGGCUAACUCCGUGCCAGCAGCCGCGGUAAUACGGAGGGUGCGAGCGUUAAUCGGAAUUACUGGGCGUAAAGCGUGCGUAGGCGGCUCGUUAAGUCAGAUGUGAAAGCCCCGGGCUCAACCUGGGAACGGCAUUUGAAACUGGCGAGCUAGAGUUGAGUAGAGGUAAGUGGAAUUUCAGGUGUAGCGGUGAAAUGCGUAGAUAUCUGAAGGAACACCAGUGGCGAAGGCGACUUACUGGACUCAAACUGACGCUGAGGUACGAAAGCGUGGGUAGCAAACAGGAUUAGAUACCCUGGUAGUCCACGCCGUAAACGAUGUCAACUAGCCGUUGGUUCUAUUUACAGAAUUAGUGGCGCAGCUAACGCAUUAAGUUGACCGCCUGGGGAGUACGGCCGCAAGGUUAAAACUCAAAUGAAUUGACGG
rnacentral:rRNA from 1 species